GAUGAACGUUGGCGACGUGCCUAACACAUGCAAGUCGAGCGGAGAAGCAGAGAGUGAACUUUUCGGAGUGAACUUUUUUCGGAUCAGCGGCGGACGGGUGAGUAAUACAUGAGGAACCUGCCCUCUACAAGGGGAUAGCCGGGGGAAACCGCGAUUAAUACCCUCUGAGACCACGAAAGCGCAUGCUUUUGAGGUUAAAGAUUUAUCGGUAGACGAUGGCCGCAUGACCCAUUAGCUAGUUGGUGAUUUAACAGACCACCAAGGCGUCGAUGGGUAGCCGGGAUGUGAGAGUGAACGGCCACAUUGGAGCUAAGACACAGUCGAGACUCCUACGGGAGGGGGCAGAGGGGAAUGUUGCACAGUGGGGGGAGCCCUGAAGCAGCUACGUCGCGUAAGCGAAGAAGGCCGUCAGGUCGUAAAGCUCUGUCCUAUAGGAAGAAAAGGACGGUACCAUAGAAGGAAGCCCCGGCUAACUACGUG
rnacentral:rRNA from 1 species